AACGGCGUCGAGCGGCGGACGGGUGAGUAAUGCCUAGGAAAUUGCCCUGAUGUGGGGGAUAACCAUUGGAAACGAUGGCUAAUACCGCAUGAUGCCUACGGGCCAAAGAGGGGGACCUUCGGGCCUCUCGCGUCAGGAUAUGCCUAGGUGGGAUUAGCUAGUUGGUGAGGUAAGGGCUCACCAAGGCGACGAUCCCUAGCUGGUCUGAGAGGAUGAUCAGCCACACUGGAACUGAGACACGGUCCAGACUCCUACGGGAGGCAGCAGUGGGGAAUAUUGCACAAUGGGCGCAAGCCUGAUGCAGCCAUGCCGCGUGUGUGAAGAAGGCCUUCGGGUUGUAAAGCACUUUCAGUCGUGAGGAAGGU
rnacentral:rRNA from 1 species